AACUAUAAUAGAAUGAAUUUAAAAUAACAUUAUGAUAAUAAGAUACAUAGUGUUUUAAAGUAAAGGUAAGCAGGUCAAAACAUGAAACAAAAUACAAAAGCGUAAAAACGUUAACUGAUCUAUCAAUGUAACAGGUUAGAACAAAAUAGAACAGAAAAUGUAUUACAUUUUGACCAGACAGAAAUAACCAGUAUGAUGCCUGUGAAAUGCAUCACAGCAUGCAAACCGUCCCGGAUGAAUUCGUCAAUCCCCAUCUAAACAGUCCAGAGAACAUCCAUGAUACAUCCCACAGAAAAAAACACGGUUAAUAUUAUUCCGUCAAAAUAGAAUCCUUGAUUGGCCGACAAAUUACCUACAUUAUACUGCUACGUAAUUAGUGAGGUGAGACUAGUUCCCAAAGAGUUGUAUGAAGGUGCAAAGGUGUUCUAUAUUCGUUUCUUGAUGUUCUGGUUACGAUUCUAGCUGCCGUAUUUUGGACAUAUUGUAGAUUGUUCAUGGGCUUUUUUGAAUCUCAUAUAGAAGAGAGUUACAAUAAUCCCAACGUGAUGUAGCAAGAGAGUUAAUUAGGGAUUUGGUUGUGUUUGUGGUUAUAUAUUGUCUGAUGAGACUAAUUUGCCGCAACUGUACAAUGGAAUGCCUUCACACACUAUUUACAUGUUGCUCCAUCCUCAUGUUCGAGUCCAGAAAAGCACUGAGGCUCCUGACACUGCCUGACAGUUUGAUUUCAGAGCUGUACACUGUUACAGAUAUGUUUGAAACAGAUUGUGCUUUGUGUUCAGAAUGAAAAUAUGAUUAAUUCUGGGUUUAUUUUAGCAUUGAGUUUCAAUAUAUCGGUAUUCAUCAAACUUACUAAAUCCUUGAGACAACCUUCAACGCGAUGGAUGGUCUCUUCAAUAUACAUUCUGUUUAUCGGUUUGAAGGAUUGAUAUAACUGCGAAUAGUCCGCACAGAAAUGAUUGUUCAGUCCCGUGCUUUCUGCAAAUAGCUCCGACUGGUUUUGUGUACAUUGUGUACUUCUUUGGCCCCGGGACAGACCCUUGGGGUACACUGUACUUCAUGAGCACUGGUUGUGAUAGCGCAAGUCUAUGUUACGGUCUGGUAGCAGGUCACUAAGGUAUGACCUCAUCCAUGCGAGUGGCUUGCCUGAAAUACCGUAAGUGACGUUCUAUGCGAUGAAUGCACGUAGCGUAGGCCGAUAGUGUCAAAUGCCUGCCGAGCAACAAAAGAAUGGUCACAUUGAAUGAUUUAGGCAUAGUACUAGAGCCGAUUUACGCACAAUCGAAUACCGCCGGAAGUAGAACAUUUAUGUUAACACCGGUUUCGUAUUUGCACGUGAAAACGGCCGAAAACUGAGAGGUUAUCAACAAAUUAUAAGGUUACGGGUACCAUGAGGAUUUUUUCAUGCAUUUAAACGAAAGAAGUACAAGCGAACAGAUGACACAUUAAAGUGGCUGCAGAAGCUUGAAAAGUUAGAUAGAGCAGGGGCAGUCAAAACAGUGGGAUACUACUUCUAUGGUGUCCAACAUGUCUAGUCAGGUUGACAGAAGUGAAAGAUGGUCUGAUGGUACAAUGAUGUACAAAUGAUACUCUUUAACAAGUUUAACAUGUCAAGGUGUAAAAUGUUCUGUGGAUUCAUAUGAUGAGAAUGCCAGUGUUGACCUGUAUGACUUAAUUAAACACAGAUAUUGAUACCUUCAGAUAUAUACCUGUGAAAUCUUCAGUGUCACCGUUCAGCUAUUGUUCAAGAUCAGUGUCUGCAGCUUGCACA
rnacentral:lncRNA from 1 species